GUGAGGAAUAUUGGGCAAUGGGCGAAAGCCUGACCCAGCCACGCCGCGUGAGUGAUGAAGGCCUUCGGGUUGUAAAGCUCUGUGGGGAGGGAAGAAAAAGCGGGAGAGUAACUGCUCUCGUGUUGACGGUACCUCCUUAGCAAGCACCGGCUAACUCUGUGCCAGCAGCCGCGGUAAUUCAGAGGGUGCAAACGUUGCUCGCAAUUACUGGGCGUAAAGCGCGUGUAGGCUUACAUGCAAGUUGGGUUGUAAAUCCCAGGGCUCAACCUAGGAACUGCACUCGAGACUGCACGUAUUGAGUACGGGAGAGGGAAGCGGAAUUCCGGGUGUAGAGGUGAAAUUCGUGGAUAUCCGGAAGAGCACCAGUGGCGAAGGCGGCUUCAUGGACAGUAACUGACGCUGAGACGCGAAAGCGUGGGGAGCAAACAGGAUUAGAAACCCGGGUAGUCC
rnacentral:rRNA from 1 species